CUUUGCAUACAGAACAAAGCCCAAAAAACCUGUUUGUGUAUUUCAAUCCUUGCAGAGAUUCUUGGGGUGGAAUCCAGAGUAGUACUUUACCUAUCCAUGCCUCCACUUCAGUGGAAAUAUCCUUCUAGUAUGGCUCAGAACUAAGAAACUACCAUCUGGUUCUAUAUGCAGCUGAGGCAAAGAGGAAUUAAUCUCCAAGGCCGUGCCAAAGAAUGUGUUACAGGAACUAAUAAACAGUUCUGGAUAAAAUUACUGGCUCCAUCACAGCACUGCUUAACUCCUAGAAGCCAAAGAAUAUCUGACCAGCCUGAGCAACUGAGGCAGCUGCUCACAGAACCACACUUGUUUUUUGCAAUUAAUGAGCUAAAGAAACUGAACUAUCAGUUCUGUAAGACCAUCUUAUUGUUAAUAUUUCAAACCACCUGAGGAUUUGUACCUCUUGAUUUUGAUCUCAGAUGGACCACAGACUGUCCUGUACAGGUAAUUUUUGAUGACAGUGUGGUAUGGAAAAUGACCCCUUAUUAUCAGCUGUGGGUGCCAAGAUCUGGUAACUCACUGCAAACAAUAAGUAAAAUCCUUGUUGGGCUGAUUCUGCUAGAAUAAUUUAUCGAUAUUAAAGGACACCCCCUUACCCCCUCCCCCCAAGAUAAAACAAGAUAAAAAGCUCCCAGAAGUCUCCAAGAAUUAAGAUAAGAAUGUCCACAGCACUUUAUAUUUCUAACAGUUAAGUAUUUAAAGGAGCUGCUCUCGAGCUCAAGAAAAGCAAAAACUUGGCAUGCCAACUUAAGAUCUGGAAUUUUUAAUUAUUUGGUUUGAAUAUGCUGUAAGAUUAGCAAAUAUCCAAACCUAAGUAGCAAACUAGUUUGUUUUCCUGGGAUUUUAUGAGAUUCAUAGAUUUCAGAAGAGACUCAGAAGUAAUUAAAAACCUUAUUUUUGCAUAUCUAGGUUAAAAAGAACAUUCCGGUGUGUUGGAAGUCUUGAAUGUAUAUUCUUAAAUUUUUUUUUUUAGUCUUAAUAUCACAGCAAACAAUAUUGUUUGGACUGACAGUUUUGUCAAGAAUUUUAACUGAUGAGAAUACCUGAAUAACAAGAAGCAUGUGAUUUUACUCUCUCUUCUGGGAUCAGCCUGAGAAAGGAAUUUAUUUUUUUUUUUCCCCGUGCUUUAACAAUAGCUGAUUAUUCCUUGCCUCUCACUAUGGCAUCUACCCAGGCAGCCUCUUGCCUGGGAUGGAAAUGCCUAAAAUCCUGGGACUUGCAAAGGAGAUAGAAGGAAAUAAAAGUGUACACUUCAUACCCUCUCCAUUUUUAAUGAUUCUGCCUGCAGAUUGCAAGAAUCAGUAACAAGAUGCACUGUUAACUCAGAUCCUGGAAGCACAUCCUUC